GACGAACGCUGGCGGCGUGCUUAACACAUGCAAGUCGAACGGAAAGGCCCUGCUUUUGUGGGGUGCUCGAGUGGCGAACGGGUGAGUAACACGUGAGUAACCUGCCCUUGACUUUGGGAUAACUUCAGGAAACUGGGGCUAAUACCGGAUAGGAGCUCCUGCUGCAUGGUGGGGGUUGGAAAGUUUCGGCGGUUGGGGAUGGACUCGCGGCUUAUCAGCUUGUUGGUGGGGUAGUGGCUUACCAAGGCUUUGACGGGUAGCCGGCCUGAGAGGGUGACCGGCCACAUUGGGACUGAGAUACGGCCCAGACUCCUACGGGAGGCAGCAGUGGGGAAUAUUGCACAAUGGGCGGAAGCCUGAUGCAGCAACGCCGCGUGCGGGAUGACGGCCUUCGGGUUGUAAACCGCUUUCGCCUGUGACGAAGCGUGAGGGACGGUAAUGGGUAAAGAAACACCGGCUAACUACGU
rnacentral:rRNA from 1 species